rnacentral:rRNA from 1 species
CCUACGGGUGACAGCAGUAGGGAAUCUUGCACAAUGGGCGAAAGCCUGAUGGAGCAACGCCGCGUGGGUGAAGAAGGUCUUCGGAUCGUAAAACCCUGUUGGUAGAGAAGAAAGUGCGUGAGAGUAAAUGUUCACGUGUCGACGGUAUCUAACCAGAAAGCCACGGCUAACUACGUGCCAGCAGCCGCGGUAAGACGUAGGGGGCAAGCGUUAUCCGGAUUUAUUGGGCGUAAAGGGAACGCAGGCGGUCUGUUAAGUCUGAUGUGAAAGCCUUCGGCUUAACCGGGGUAGUGCAUUGGAAACUGGGAGGCGUGAGUGCAGGAGAGGGUAGUGGAACUCCGUGUGUAGCGGUGAAAUGCGUAGAUAUCUGGAAGAACACCAGUGGCGAAGGCGGCUCUCUGGUCUGUAACUGACGCUGAGGUUCGAAAGCGUGGGUAGCAAACAGGAUUAGAUACCCCUGUAGUC